UGACAAAUAACUCAGCAGGGAUGUGAA
rnacentral:piRNA from 1 species